GCUCCAGGAUAUUUACGUCGGAACAGGUAAAGUAUGAAUCGGAAAGUAAGUAUAUUUUUUUUUUUAUUUAUUAAUAGUUGUCCUAUAGAUAUUAAAAUAAUUUGAAUAUGUAUUAUAGAUAGACGGCAGCCCAGAGAGAAGAAGAGAGUACAGUCCUAGACCUGGAGACGAUUAAAUUGAAGAUGCCUAGAUGCCUAGAUGAUGAUAUACCAGCUCCAGGAUAUUUACGUCGGAACAGGUAAAGUAUGAAUCGGAAAGUAAGUAUAUUUUUUUUUUAUUUAUUAAUAGUUGUCUAAUAGAUAUUAAAAUAAUUUGAAUAUGUAUUACAGAUAGAUGGGAGCCAACAGAGAAGAAGAAGACAGUACAGUCCUAGACAUGGAGAUGAUUAAAUUGUAGAUGCCAAGAUGAUGAUAUACCAGCCCCAGGAUAUUUACGUCAGGACAGGUAACAUAUGCAUCGGAAAGUAAGUAUAUUUUUUUUAUUUAUUAAUAGUUGUCUAAUAGAUAUUAAAAUAAUUUGAAUAUGUAUUACAGAUAGACGGGAGCCAACAGAGAAGAAGAAGACAGUACAGUCCUAGACAUGGAGAUGAUUAAAUUGUAGAUGCCAAGAUGAUGAUAUACCAGCCCCAGGAUAUUUACGUCAGGACAGGUAACAUAUGCAUCGGAAAGUAAGUAUAUUUUUUUUAUUUAUUAAUAGUUGUCUAAUAGAUAUUAAAAUAAUUUGAAUAUGUAUUACAGAUAGACGGGAGCCAACAGAGAAGAAGAAGACAGUACAGUCCUAGACAUGGAGAUGAUUAAAUUGUAGAUGCCAAGAUGAUGAUAUACCAGCCCCAGGAUAUUUACGUCAGGACAGGUAACAUAUGCAUCGGAAAGUAAGUAUAUUUUUUUUUAUUUAUUAAUAGUUGUCUAAUAGAUAUUAAAAUAAUUUGAAUAUGUAUUACAGAUAGACGGGAGCCAACAGAGAAGAAGAAGACAGUACAGUCCUAGACAUGGAGAUGAUUAAAUUGUAGAUGCCAAGAUGAUGAUAUACCAGCCCCAGGAUAUUUACGUCAGGACAGGUAACAUAUGCAUCGGAAAGUAAGUAUAUUUUUUUUUAUUUAUUAAUAGUUGUCUAAUAGAUAUUAAAAUAAUUUGAAUAUGUAUUACAGAUAGACGGGAGCCAACAGAGAAGAAGAAGACAGUACAGUCCUAGACAAGGAGAUGAUUAAAUUGUAGAUGCCAAGAUGAUGAUAUACCAGCCCCAGGAUAUUUACGUCAGGACAGGUAACAUAUGCAUCGGAAAGUAAGUAUAUUUUUUUUUAUUUAUUAAUAGUUGUCUAAUAGAUAUUAAAAUAAUUUGAAUAUGUAUUACAGAUAGACGGGAGCCAACAGAGAAGAAGAAGACAGUACAGUCCUAGACAUGGAGAUGAUUAAAUUGUAGAUGCCAAGAUGAUGAUAUACCAGCCCCAGGAUAUUUACGUCAGGACAGGUAACAUAUGCAUCGGAAAGUAAGUUUAUUUUUUUUUAUUUAUUAAUAGUUGUCUAAUAGAUAUUAAAAUAAUUUGAAUAUGUAUUACAGAUAGACGGGAGCCAACAGAGAAGAAGAAGACAGUACAGUCCUAGACAUGGAGAUGAUUAAAUUGUAGAUGCCAAGAUGAUGAUAUACCAGCCCCAGGAUAUUUACGUCAGGACAGGUAACAUAUGCAUCGGAAAGUAAGUAUAUUUUUUUUUAUUUAUUAAUAGUUGUCUAAUAGAUAUUAAAAUAAUUUGAAUAUGUAUUACAGAUAGACGGGAGCCAACAGAGAAGAAGAAGACAGUACAGUCCUAGACAUGGAGAUGAUUAAAUUGUAGAUGCCAAGAUGAUGAUAUACCAGCCCCAGGAUAUUUACGUCAGGACAGGUAACAUAUGCAUCAGAAAGUAAGUAUAUUUUUUUUAUUUAUUAAUAGUUGUCUAAUAGAUAUUAAAAUAAUUUGAAUAUGUAUUACAGAUAGACGGGAGCCAACAGAGAAGAAGAAGACAGUACAGUCCUAGACAUGGAGAUGAUUAAAUUGUAGAUGCCAAGAUGAUGAUAUACCAGCCCCAGGAUAUUUACGUCAGGACAGGUAACAUAUGCAUCGGAAAGUAAGUAUAUUUUUUUUUAUUUAUUAAUAGUUGUCUAAUAGAUAUUAAAAUAAUUUGAAUAUGUAUUACAGAUAGACGGGAGCCAACAGAGAAGAAGAAGACAGUACAGUCCUAGACAUGGAGAUGAUUAAAUUGUAGAUGCCAAGAUGAUGAUAUACCAGCCCCGGGAUAUUUACAUCGGAACAGGUAAAGUAUGAAUCGGAAAGUAAGUAUAUUUUUUUUUUUAUUUAUUAAUAGUUGUCCUAUAGAUAUUAAAAUAAUUUGAAUAUGUAUUACAGAUAGACGGCAGCCCAAAAGAAGAAGAGAGUACAGUUCUAGACCUGGAGACGAUUAAAUUAAAGAUGCCUAGAUGCCUAGAUGAUGAUAUAGACGGCAACCAAGAGAGAAGAAGAAAAAAGAUGAUGAUGCCUGAGAAGUUUCAGUGGUACAGCUUGAAGAUGGUUCCAUUGUACAUAGAAGAUGAAGAUGAGUUAGGUUAAACCUUGUUAGAGUGAAAAAAACAAAAUAAAGCAGCAUGCAGGGAUAGCAGUUCCAAGCAAGAUGGUAACAUAGAUCUUCAUUACUAACUCCGAGGCUCUGCCAUGAAAAAAAUAAAAAAGCAAGGACAGCAGCUCCAGUGAAGAUUAUUACAUUGAUAAUCUUGCAAGUCUGAUGUGUGGCCAUUAAAGAAAUAAUGUGAUUUCAGUGUUUUCAUGGAUGGGAGUAAGACUUGGUGGUAUAAUAUGUCUAAUAUUUAAGUAGGCUAGCAUUAAUUACUGCUGGUCAGUAUGGAUUGUUUAGAAUGGUCAUUGGAGCUGUCUUUUAAGGUUAUUACAGUGACUGUUUUCAUGGAUGGGGAGUAAAACUUGGUGGUCUAAUACUCAUAAAUUAAUGAAGAUUUGGGAUCCUUUUGGCUUGAAAGAUUGUCAGGAACAUGAAGAAACUGAAUCCAUAAACAGACAAAAUAACAACACUGGUUGAUACAAUUCUAGGAACCAGUGAAGAAGUUAAAAGUUUUACAAUAUACUGAAGACUUGCAACAGAAAAUGUUUUACUGAACAGUAUGAGAGAGCCAAGAUGAUUGUUGGAUUUAAAAUGCUUGGAAAAUACAACCAAAUGAAGACAAAAAAUGCACUGCAUCAACAAACAAAACAACUACUGGAACGUUGGGGCAUCAGUACUGAGUUCCGAUUCUAAAAACAAUUGUUCAAAAUCUUCUACAAGUUUAAGAAGACUGUACAUACAUGUAUAUAUAUAUAU